GAGGGGAGGCGGGGAAUUGGGAGGUAGGGGGUUUCUUCUGAGGGUGACAGAAAUAUUCUGGAAUUAGGUAGUGGUAAUGGUUGUGCUGCUCUGUGAAUAUACUAAAAAUCACCAAAUUGUACAUUCUGAAAAUUUUUAAUGUGACUUUUAUGUGAUGUGAAUUUAUCUCAUUAAAAAACCAUAGUACCAGCAGUUACAGGUUUUAUCAAAGGGACGUGUCCUCUCCUUCUCUGAGUGCAGACGUGGUGGGAGGAAUUGUUUUGGAUGUGUGGAUGAAGGCAACUCACAAGGAGAGAGAAGACAGAAGCUUUGUGUCUGAUGCCACAUGGUUAACCAAGUGAUCCUGGGCAGCAUCUCCCUACGUAUCAGCUUUUAUUAAUGACAGUGGCUCCUGACCCUUCAGGAACGAGGAGUGAGAAGGAACAAAGAGAAGCCAAAAAAGAGGAGGCCAACAUUUCAAAAAGGAAGAAUAAAAUAAAAUUAUUCCCCUUGAAGUAGAUGUUAGUUAUAACUGAAAAUAUCUUUCCUCUGGCCAGCUAUUUCAUUCUUGUCACCAUCCAAACAGCCAACCAAAUCUUUCAAGGGAGCUUCAAAGAUUUUUCCCUUUCACAGAUAUGGUUCUGCGCAUUCUGGAUAUGCGCCACCACACAAGUGAGCCUACAGACUGUACACAUGGCAUGCUCCCUGUAACUCCAGGCUUCUCUGUCAGUAGUGAAAUCACUUAGAUUAUCAUCAAAUGCACAGGACAUCAACUACCUUAAGUAGGAAUGAUCCGAAGUGUCAUCUGCAUUCUAAAAAUCAUUUCACCCGGCAGAAGGUGCCUAAUGCCUUUGAACCCCUAGAUCUGCUGUCCCCCCAGGAUAAGCUACCCAGGAAGACACUCAAAGCCAAAGACAAAGAGGUUUUUUAGGAUGAAAAGUCUGGGAAGGAAACGGAGUGGAAGAAUGGCUGGGCAACUAGGCCAGCAAAUGAGGCCCUGGGUGCUUCAAGGGCACGGGGCACUUCAGAAAGAAGGAAGAACUUCCACAGUUACUCUUGAAUGUCACUGAAAUGUGAUUUUAACAUUUAUUUCAACUUUUCUCAGUCUCAAAAAAAAAGGCUUUCAAAACAUCUUUAAAUAUAUAUAGUUAGGAAACAGUUGUUUGAUACUGAAAUGAAGGACAGUUACUGAAGUAUUUACAUACUUGAUACAUGCUCAUUUUCAUACCGCCUAAAGGCAGACAUAGCACUUCAAACAAACAGUCUGGAGGAAAUCUGAAUGAGGUGAAUGAGUUAUUUAUUGCACUUUGUAUUUUCAUCACUGGAAAAUAUUCAACUCAUUCAAAUGACUCUGUCUUUCACAAUCCCUUAUCAGUGAUAAAAUUUGUCUCUCAAGGAGUAUGUUGUCUAUAUAUUUUUCUUUUCUGGUGAUAGAAAUUAUCCAAGUUAGAACAAAAGUUUGAAUCUAGUUACACCGUGAUAAGUCUAUGUCAUUUUCAGAUGGGUAGAUAUGACAGGUGGACAUAAGAGUCUAGUGUAGCCAGCUCUUGAGCAAGCCUUUAUUUCCUGACAAGUUUUUUUGCAUUUUGUCUUGAGUGGCACAAAUUUUAGAAUAAAGCACCUCACUAACAGCAUCACUUUUUUACUUACUUGACUACAUAUGAUUUGUUUAAAGAAUCACAAGACUGAGAAAUUUGUAGAAUUAUCAAAGCAAUAUGUUCCAAGAUGCAGGAAAUGGUAAAGUAAUAAUGUAGUUCAAAAGCUAGGAAAAUAUAUUAAAAUAUAUAUAAUAUAAGGUUAACUUGGUCAAUUCAUGAUACAAUCUGUAAAAUGGAAAUAUUUGGUCAAUUUAUUAUUUUGCAGAAUAUUUCUUUUGGCAAUGGGAUUCCUUUACAACUUUUAGCUCCAUUAGAUGAGACUAGCUGGAGGUCUUUAAUUAUUUUUGACUGAAUCUUGCAGUUUCUACUUUGUGAUUUCUCCUCAAGUUAUAAAGCAUUAAUGAUCAUUACAAGCACUAUUUCACAAACCACAAAUUAAAGUUCUAUAGCAUUUAAAAUGCCUAAGUGGCUCCAUUUUCAAUUACACAGCAACUAUCUCAAACAGUAUUACAUGAGAUGCUUCUAAGUAAAAUCACAAUGGAAACAAGGUAAAAAUUGUAUGAUACCAGUGUGCCGGAUAGCAUGUGCUGACCACCAGAUAUUUCCAUGGAAAUCAGUCUUUAAGUUUCCCAAUAUUGGAUUAAGUCCCGUUGUUUUUAAAAUAAUCUUUCAGAACCAAUGAGUUGUUAAAAGUGGGCACAUAUUCCCCAGAAAUUAGAAAGGUUACCUUAGGUAAUUUCAAUGAAA